CAACGUGGGUAACCUGCCUCGUAGAGGGGGAUAGCCUUCCGAAAGGAAGAUUAAUACCGCAUAAUAUCAAAUUGCCGCAUGGCAGUUUGAUCAAAGGAGUAAUCCGCUAUGAGAUGGACCCGCGGCGCAUUAGCUAGUUGGUGAGGUAACGGCUCACCAAGGCGACGAUGCGUAGCCGACCUGAGAGGGUGAUCGGCCACAUUGGAACUGAGAUACGGUCCAA
rnacentral:rRNA from 1 species